rnacentral:rRNA from 1 species
UACGGAGGGUGCGAGCGUUGUCCGGAAUCUGAUUGGGCGUGAAAGGGCGCGUAGGCUGGCCCCUCAAGCGUGGCGGUGAAAGGUCAGGGCUCAACCCCUGAUCGGCCGUGCGAACUGGGGAGCUUGAGCACUGUAGAGGCAGGCGGAAUUCCGGGUGUAGCGGUGGAAUGCGUAGAGAUCCGGAAGAACACCGGUGGCGAAGGCGGGUCUCUGGGCAGUAACUGACGCUGAGGAGCGAAAGCGUGGGGAGCGAACAGG